UUCAGAAGGAUCUUGAACCAAAUCCAAUUCUACCAGAGCAGGAGAAAAAUGGGAUGUUUUUUGUCUGCCGUUUAGUAUAAUAUGGAAAGCUCCCGGGGUCCUGGACAACCAAGGAUCUGAAAUAUGGAUUUGAGAUAACUCGGCUCCUCUAGCUGCCAGGGCCAAGGGCAGCAGAGCAGCCAACUUGAUAGCAGUCCAUCUUAAAUCAAUUUUAGCAUUAUCCAAAGAAUUAAG